GUCUGUGCAUAAAGCCACCAUUUUUGGACAUUAAGGACCUGCAUGGAGACUGGUGACUUUUCAAAUUAAAUCCUGCUUGGUGAGAUUGCAUAUGCAUUGAGGGGAUAUAUGCAGAAAUAGAGCUGAAGAAAUGUUUCAGAAUUAUCGUUAUAUGGAAACGCCACUUUCCAAUAUGUGUUUUAUGGUAUAAGACCAAAAUUACAAAACACAAUGUCAGUUCUUGUUGCACAACAAUUUUGUUGUUUUAAUGUGCUACACAAUACAGCCAGAAUGAUGCCUGAACAAGAGCUGCCGCCGUUAGAUGAAAUAAAUAUGGACCAAAUUAAUAAGAAGAGAAAUAAUAAAUUAUUUUGAAAGAUUAGGGCAAUAUUUUUUUUAACUUAUUCUAAACAUGUUUUUAUGUUGUUAUUAAAUCUCUUGAGUAUUAAUUUCUAUAAAAUAUCAUUAUUAAAUGUCUUUUAUUCAGAAAUAACAUACAUUACAUUUUUUACAUUACAAUAUAAACACUAA